UACUGGGGGAGCAAGCGUUGUUCGGAUUUACUGGGCGUAAAGGGCGCGUAGGCGGCGUGACAAGUCACUUGUGAAAUCUCCGGGCUUAACCCGGAGCGGUCAAGUGAUACUGUCGUGCUAGAGUGCGGAAGGGGCUACUGGAAUUCUCGGUGUAUCGGUGAAAUGCGUAGAUAUCGAGAGGAACACCUGCGGCGAAGGCGGGUCUCUGGUACGCGACUGACGCUGAGACGCGAAAGCGUGGGGAGCGAACAGG
rnacentral:rRNA from 1 species